ensembl:miRNA gmo-mir-11222 gmo-mir-11222
UUUAGCAGCCUCACCUGGUGUCCGAGUGUGAUUGGAGUCGGCCAGGUGAGGCCGCUUA